rnacentral:rRNA from 1 species
CGGAACGGGUGAGUAAUGCGUACCAACCUGCCCCAUGCUCCAGAAUAGCUCUUGGAAACGGGUGGUAAUGCUGGAUGCUCCAACUUGACGCAUGUCUUGUUGGGAAAGUGUUUAGUGGCAUGGGAUGGGGUCGCGUCCUAUCAGCUUGUAGGCGGGGUAAUGGCCCACCUAGGCUUCGACGGGUAGCCGGCCUGAGAGGGCGGACGGCCACAUUGGGACUGAGAUACGGCCCAGACUCCUACGGGAGGCAGCAGGC